UUAAGCGACUAAGCGUACACGGUGGAUGCCCUGGCAGUCAGAGGCGAUGAAGGACGUGCUAAUCUGCGAUAAGCGUCGGUAAGGUGAUAUGAACCGUUAUAACCGGCGAUUUCCGAAUGGGGAAACCCAGUGUGUUUCGACACACUAUCAUUAACUGAAUCCAUAGGUUAAUGAGGCGAACCGGGGGAACUGAAACAUCUAAGUACCCCGAGGAAAAGAAAUCAACCGAGAUUCCCCCAGUAGCGGCGAGCGAACGGGGAGCAGCCCAGAGCCUAAAUCAGUGUGUGUGUUAGUGGAAGCGUCUGGAAAGGCGCGCGAUACAGGGUGACAGCCCCGUACACAAAAAUGCACAUGCUGUGAGCUCGAUGAGUAGGGCGGGACACGUGGUAUCCUGUCUGAAUAUGGGGGGACCAUCCUCCAAGGCUAAAUACUCCUGACUGACCGAUAGUGAACCAGUACCGUGAGGGAAAGGCGAAAAGAACCCCGGCGAGGGGAGUGAAAAAGAACCUGAAACCGUGUACGUACAAGCAGUGGGAGCACGCUUAGGCGUGUGACUGCGUACCUUUUGUAUAAUGGGUCAGCGACUUAUAUUCUGUAGCAAGGUUAACCGAAUAGGGGAGCCGAAGGGAAACCGAGUCUUAACUGGGCGUUAAGUUGCAGGGUAUAGACCCGAAACCCGGUGAUCUAGCCAUGGGCAGGUUGAAGGUUGGGUAACACUAACUGGAGGACCGAACCGACUAAUGUUGAAAAAUUAGCGGAUGACUUGUGGCUGGGGGUGAAAGGCCAAUCAAACCGGGAGAUAGCUGGUUCUCCCCGAAAGCUAUUUAGGUAGCGCCUCGUGAAUUCAUCUCCGGGGGUAGAGCACUGUUUCGGCAAGGGGGUCAUCCCGACUUACCAACCCGAUGCAAACUGCGAAUACCGGAGAAUGUUAUCACGGGAGACACACGGCGGGUGCUAACGUCCGUCGUGAAGAGGGAAACAACCCAGACCGCCAGCUAAGGUCCCAAAGUCAUGGUUAAGUGGGAAACGAUGUGGGAAGGCCCAGACAGCCAGGAUGUUGGCUUAGAAGCAGCCAUCAUUUAAAGAAAGCGUAAUAGCUCACUGGUCGAGUCGGCCUGCGCGGAAGAUGUAACGGGGCUAAACCAUGCACCGAAGCUGCGGCAGCGACACUAUGUGUUGUUGGGUAGGGGAGCGUUCUGUAAGCCUGUGAAGGUGUACUGUGAGGCAUGCUGGAGGUAUCAGAAGUGCGAAUGCUGACAUAAGUAACGAUAAAGCGGGUGAAAAGCCCGCUCGCCGGAAGACCAAGGGUUCCUGUCCAACGUUAAUCGGGGCAGGGUGAGUCGACCCCUAAGGCGAGGCCGAAAGGCGUAGUCGAUGGGAAACAGGUUAAUAUUCCUGUACUUGGUGUUACUGCGAAGGGGGGACGGAGAAGGCUAUGUUGGCCGGGCGACGGUUGUCCCGGUUUAAGCGUGUAGGCUGGUUUUCCAGGCAAAUCCGGAAAAUCAAGGCUGAGGCGUGAUGACGAGGCACUACGGUGCUGAAGCAACAAAUGCCCUGCUUCCAGGAAAAGCCUCUAAGCAUCAGGUAACAUCAAAUCGUACCCCAAACCGACACAGGUGGUCAGGUAGAGAAUACCAAGGCGCUUGAGAGAACUCGGGUGAAGGAACUAGGCAAAAUGGUGCCGUAACUUCGGGAGAAGGCACGCUGAUAUGUAGGUGAAGUCCCUCGCGGAUGGAGCUGAAAUCAGUCGAAGAUACCAGCUGGCUGCAACUGUUUAUUAAAAACACAGCACUGUGCAAACACGAAAGUGGACGUAUACGGUGUGACGCCUGCCCGGUGCCGGAAGGUUAAUUGAUGGGGUNNNNNNNNNNNAGCGCAAGCGAAGCUCUUGAUCGAAGCCCCGGUAAACGGCGGCCGUAACUAUAACGGUCCUAAGGUAGCGAAAUUCCUUGUCGGGUAAGUUCCGACCUGCACGAAUGGCGUAAUGAUGGCCAGGCUGUCUCCACCCGAGACUCAGUGAAAUUGAACUCGCUGUGAAGAUGCAGUGUACCCGCGGCAAGACGGAAAGACCCCGUGAACCUUUACUAUAGCUUGACACUGAACAUUGAGCCUUGAUGUGUAGGAUAGGUGGGAGGCUUUGAAGUGUGGACGCCAGUCUGCAUGGAGCCGACCUUGAAAUACCACCCUUUAAUGUUUGAUGUUCUAACGUUGACCCGUAAUCCGGGUUGCGGACAGUGUCUGGUGGGUAGUUUGACUGGGGCGGUCUCCUCCUAAAGAGUAACGGAGGAGCACGAAGGUUGGCUAAUCCUGGUCGGACAUCAGGAGGUUAGUGCAAUGGCAUAAGCCAGCUUGACUGCGAGCGUGACGGCGCGAGCAGGUGCGAAAGCAGGUCAUAGUGAUCCGGUGGUUCUGAAUGGAAGGGCCAUCGCUCAACGGAUAAAAGGUACUCCGGGGAUAACAGGCUGAUACCGCCCAAGAGUUCAUAUCGACGGCGGUGUUUGGCACCUCGAUGUCGGCUCAUCACAUCCUGGGGCUGAAGUAGGUCCCAAGGGUAUGGCUGUUCGCCAUUUAAAGUGGUACGCGAGCUGGGUUUAGAACGUCGUGAGACAGUUCGGUCCCUAUCUGCCGUGGGCGCUGGAGAACUGAGGGGGGCUGCUCCUAGUACGAGAGGACCGGAGUGGACGCAUCACUGGUGUUCGGGUUGUCAUGCCAAUGGCACUGCCCGGUAGCUAAAUGCGGAAGAGAUAAGUGCUGAAAGCAUCUAAGCACGAAACUUGCCCCGAGAUGAGUUCUCCCUGACUCCUUGAGAGUCCUGAAGGAACGUUGAAGACGACGACGUUGAUAGGCCGGGUGUGUAAGCGCAGCGAUGCGUUGAGCUAACCGGUACUAAUGAACCGUGAGGCUUAACCUU
rnacentral:rRNA from 1 species